GGGGAAUUUUGGACAAUGGGCGCAAGCCUGAUCCAGCCAUGCCGCGUGUCUGAAGAAGGCCUUCGGGUUGUAAAGGACUUUUGUCAGGGAAGAAAAGGAUAGGGUUAAUACCCCUGUCUGAUGACGGUACCUGAAGAAUAAGCACCGGCUAACUACGUGCCAGCAGCCGCGGUAAUACGUAGGGUGCGAGCGUUAAUCGGAAUUACUGGGCGUAAAGCGGGCGCAGACGGUUACUUAAGCAGGAUGUGAAAUCCCCGGGCUCAACCUGGGAACUGCGUUCUGAGCUGGGUGACUAGAGUGUGUCAGAGGGAGGUAGAAUUCCACGUGUAGCAGUGAAAUGCGUAGAGAUGUGGAGGAAUACCGAUGGCGAAGGCAGCCUCCUGGGAUAACACUGACGUUCAUGCCCGAAAGCGUGGGUAGCAAACAGGAUUAGAUACCCUGGUAGUCCACGCCCUAAACGAUGUCGAUUAGCUGUUGGGCAGCUUGACUGCUUAGUAGCGAAGCUAACGCGUGAAAUCGACCGCCUGGGGAGUACGGUCGCAAGAUUA
rnacentral:rRNA from 1 species